rnacentral:misc_RNA from 1 species
AAGUCGUAACAAGGUAACCGUAGGUGAACCUGCGGUUGGAUCAUUAAAGAAAACCAUAGGAAUUGGGCUCAGUGGGGAUAUUGCUGCGGGCAACUGCACAGUUUUUCCCUGGGUUUUCAAUUUCCUUUGCACCCCUCUUGUGAACCAUCGAACGUACUUUGCCAGCCCUGCAAACCAGUUCUGGCUUUUUUAGUCAGAGCUAUGGGCUGGCAGUUUUAUGAUUAAACACCAGUUUUAUUUUUACCGAGUUUUUUAUUGAAAUGAAUGAAAGUUCACUUCUUUACAUGAGAAAAAUUGGAAAAAAAACAACUUUUGACAACGGAUCUCUUGGCUCUC